rnacentral:rRNA from 1 species
GACGAACGCUGGCGGCGUGCCUAAUACAUGCAAGUAGAACGCUGAAGGAGGAGCUUGCUCUUCUGGAUGAGUUGCGAACGGGUGAGUAACGCGUAGGUAACCUGCCUGGUAGCGGGGGAUAACUAUUGGAAACGAUAGCUAAUACCGCAUAACAGUAGAUGUUGCAUGACAUUUACUUAAAAGGUGCAAUUGCAUCACUACCAGAUGGACCUGCGUUGUAUUAGCUAGUGGGUGUGGUAACGGAUCACCAAGGCGACGAUGCAUAGCCGAACGGAGAGGGGGGGCGGCCAGACUGGGAGGGAGACACGGCACAGUGGGCCUCGGGUGGCAGCAGGAGGGCAUCUUCGGCAAUGGGCGGAAGUCUGACCGAGCAACGCCGAGUGAGGGUAGAAGGUUUUCGGAUCGUGAAGCUCGGUCGUAAGAGAAGAACGAGUGUGAGAGUGGAAAGUACACACUGUGACGGUAUCUUAUCAGAAAGGGACGGCUAACUACGUG